rnacentral:rRNA from 1 species
UACAGAGGUCCCGAGCGUUGUUCGGAUUCAUUGGGCGUAAAGGGUGCGUAGGCGGUCUGCUAAGUUUGAUGUGAAAUCCCGGGGCUCAACCCUGGAAUUGCAUUGAAUACUGGCGGACUAGAGUCCUGGAGAGGAAACUGGAAUUUACGGUGUAGCAGUGAAAUGCGUAGAGAUCGUAAGGAAGACCAGUGGCGAAGGCGAGUUUCUGGACAGGUACUGACGCUGAGGCACGAAGGCCAGGGGAGCAAACGGG